GUCUUUGUCUCUGUAAAUCAGUAGUUUUCAACCUUUUUAGAUUCCAGACACUCCUCAUUAGACUGAAGGCAACCCUUGGAAAAUGCAGGCUCUUAUCUUUCCCUUGUUUUUGACUAUGAAAAAAUAAUACAGCAAUUCU